AAAUGCGCAGAUAUCGGGAGGAACACCAGUGNCGAAGNCGGCUCCCUGGACCGCACCUGACGCUCAGAGGCGAAAGCUAGGGGAGCGAACAGGAUUAGAGACCCUGGUAGUCCUAGCCCUAAACGCUGGAUGCUAGGUGUAGGGCUGAUGAGGCUCUGUGCCGGAGCGAACGCGAUAAGCAUCCCGCCUGGGAACUACGGCCGCAAGGCUAAAACUCAAACGAAUUGACGGGGACCCGCACAAGCAGCGGAGCGUGUGGUUUAAUUCGAUGCUACACGAAGAACCUUACCUGGGUUUGACAUGCUGGUGGUACCGAACCGAAAGGGGAGGGACCCUUCGGGGAGCCAACACAGGUGCUGCAUGGCUGUCGUCAGCUCGUGCCGUGAGGUGUCGGGUUAAGUCCCGUAACGAGCGCAACCCUUGCUCUUAGUUAUACGUGUCUAAGGGGACUGCCGGCGACAAGCCGGAGGAAGGUGGGGAUGACGUCAAGUCAGCAUGGCCUUGAUAUCCAGGGCUACACACACGCUACAAUGGCCGGUACAAAGGGCAGCCAAGCCGCGAGGUGGAGCGAAUCCCAGCAAAGCCGGUCCCAGUUCGGAUUGCAGGCUGCAACCCGCCUGCAUGAAGUUGGAGUUGCUAGUAACCGCGCGUCAGCCAUAGUGCGGUGAAUACGUACCCGGGUCUUGUACA
rnacentral:rRNA from 1 species